UACAGAGGUCUCAAGCGUUGUUCGGAUUCAUUUGGGCGUAAAGGGUGUGUAGGUGGCGCCGUAAGUCGGGUGUGAAAUUUCGGAGCUUAACUCCGAAACUGCAUUCGAUACUGCGGUGCUUGAGGACUGGAGAGGAGACUGGAAUUUACGGUGUAGCAGUGAAAUGCGUAGAUAUCGUAAGGAAGACCAGUGGCGAAGGCGGGUCUCUGGACAGUUCCUGACACUGAGACACGAAGGCCAGGGGAGCAAACGGGG
rnacentral:rRNA from 1 species